ensembl:lncRNA
CAGGACUAUACCUGUUAUUUGUUCCUAUUUAUGGGUGGAGUUGUUGUGUCCUUGGGCUUAUAGAUGUCUGGUGCUCAAGUAGAAUCACUUUCAUUGCUUGGAAGAGCAGCUUGAACACUGCACAAAGGCUUUGCUGCCAAGUCUGCUUACCAAACCACUACAAAACAUAUCCAACAAUGAACUUUGGCCCUUGGGGGAUGAUGAAUCCUAUGGGUCACAUGGUGCCUUCUGGGUACGGACCACAGCCAUUUUUCUGUAAUGGUAAUAUGCCUUACGCUGGGAUGCCUUAUCCACAGAUGAAUAUGAUGGUCCCACCAACCCCAUUCCAAGACAGCAUGCAUUCCUAUGAAACUAAAGUCAAGUUUACUCGCUAUUUGCCUGAUACAGGAAAUGGUGCUCGCAAACAAACAGUUGUCUAUAAGAAUGGCAAUGUUUUGUAUGCUGAAGAAGUCAAAUGUUAAUCAUCUCAUAAAGAUUUUUCAAUCAUUCAGCAAUCAUGCCUGAAUUAUUGCUUAAUAAAUGUUGAUUCUUUCAGUCUGCUUUCUUUUUC